UUUCAUUUAGUGAAAGGUUUAUUACUACAAAUGAGGCCUUAGGUUGCUUAUAUAGGUGUAAGAGAGGAAGUAAAUUAAGUAAAUUAAGUAAAUUGAAAGAUGUGGAACUUGGAGAUCUUAAAUUUGAAAUGGAACGUUAUAAACAGGUUUUAGGUACCACAUUUCUUAAUUCUACAUUACCCUAAAGAUAUAUAAGCUACCCAACUAGUGUAAAAAUCAAAACUAAAGUUAUAUCAUAGAUAACUUGAAUUACAAGCAACUAAAAGAGGAAAACUUUUUUAUUAUUUUUUCUUUUUAGUCCAAACUAUUUGGAGUCGCAUAUUGAUUGCACUUUAAAGAAAAAAAGGAUCUAUAAGUAUCUCUACAACCAAACUAAGGAACUAGCAAGGCAAAAUACAAACCUAUGAAAAUCUAUGCUAAUAAAGGCCAAAAUACAUGUUAUAAAACCUAUUCUAUUCUUUUCAUUUCUUCAUGUUUUCCUUAUGUCUUGAGCCAUUUAUGAUCACAUCAGAUCAGCCCAAUGAAAAGGGGUGAACUCAAAAGCUAAUCUGAGGUUGUUCACAAAGGGUGAACUCAGAAUUAUAGGUAGGGGUCAAAGACCCUGUUAUUUUCUUCAUUCUGUCUUUCUUGUGGACAUCUUGGUGCCCUCGUAAUGUUGUGAGAUUGCAUUUUAGUGCAUUCUGUUUUCAAGUCAUAGCAUGCUUUGUAUUGAUUACAAAAUGUAGUUUUAAAGUACAUGGACAUAAGGGUCUAUAUAAGAAAAUCCAGAUUUAGAUAAAGCCGUGUCUCAUGGAAUGUUUGCAAAUAAAGAAACUGUUUUUGGCACUGUAGUAGAUGCACGUCAAACUUCUUAGUAAAAAAGGAUUCACUGUGAUUUAUUUAAGGUGAUAUCAUAUGUCUUGCUUCUAAAGUAUGCUUUAGUAAUUGUUUUUACGUUGCAUGUUGCUGUUGAACGUGGAGUAAAAUUUUGAGUAGUAGACAGAGAAGAAAAGUGGAUCCCCUAUCACUUUCUUAUGAUUCAAUAGUGGUUUUCAUACAAAUAGUAGCGAACACACUAUAAACUGAAGAACUUUGUAAUUAAAACAGCUUAAACUCAAACCAAAUCUACUCUAGGAAAGCAAUAAAAUCUACCAAACUAGCUUUGUAGUGAAGGCAGGUUCAUAACAUUAGAGAGAAGGAAAACUCAGAACUGUAAAAUCUGGAAAAGGUUUUCUUAUUAGUCACUAUGUGGUUUUCAUCCAUCUCUAAUUUUGAUAUUCGCAUUCCGGUUCUGCAACACCCCGGACUCAUCAUUUCUAAUAGCAUAUGGCAUAUUACUGCAAUAUCUUCGCACUGGUUUUUUAUUACAUUAGUCUACUACAUCAUUUAAAUUGAAGAACUUUAGUUCAAAGUCAAAAGGAAUAGAUAAUUUGGUAGAAAGAAAAAAUGAGGUAAAUUAGGAGUUAUGAUUGUAUUCUGUUGAACAGUACGUAGCAUCAACUUAUGGGCUUUGCAAGUUUAUUGGAAGACAGGAUAUGAAUGACAUAGCACGGGGGAAUCUAUUGAUUGAUUUUCUUCACUCUCGGUUCUUUGCUUAUUGGUAUAACAAUCAAAGAAUAUUACACCCCGAUUGUACUUUAGUUUAAGUCAUAGGGAAAAUUCUCAGCUAAACUUUAAUGGUUGCAGAAGAGUAAUAUAUAUAUAUAUAUAUAUAUAUAUAUAUAUAUAUAUAUAUAUAUAUAUAUAUAUAUAUAUAUAAAGACCAUAUCAAUUUGAAUUGUAAUGUGUAACAGCAAUAGGUGGUAUAAAGUGAAAAUAGAAACUUCCUCAUUUCUCUUUAUGCAAGUGAUAAAAUAAAUUGGAGAAAGAAUGAGUGUGUGAGAGAAAAAGAAUGGAGGAUUCAUGCAAGUUGUGGUAAGAUGCAUUGUUUCAUGUGUGGGGUCGGGAAUGAAUAGGACACUCCUUCACACUUUCUAUCGCGCUUGUUUGGAUAAUUUUGUUCGUCUUUUGUUAAAGUCCUUUCUGGUUAAUGUUCCAAACCGCUCGAGGAUACUUGUCAAAGGCAUUUCGAUGCUUAAGUCAUUAAUUAAUCCAGACGAUGGUUAGAGCAAAGUCAUAAAUUCACAAUAAAUAUGAUCACUUACUUUUUAUCUUUGACCUCUAUUUAUAGUUUUAGAGAUGGGCUUAAGAUUAGCAAAACCCUAAUCACGACCCCAAUCUCGGUCCAUUAUCUACUAAUUAACACUUACUCUUAACCUUGUCUAUUUGGUCUUUACCCACAUUCGGCCGAGCAAUCAUCGUCUUAUUUUGUUCAAUUUCAUGGGUUCAGACAUAUUCGAUCGGUCAUCCCUCAAUGGCUCUUUCUGCCCGGUCUUAGCUAUGUUGUCAUCUGGCCAUACAGUACAAAGGCCUCCCAAGCCCUAGCCAACCCUGGGUGGCGUUGGAUUUGAUACAUGGGUGGUGUGGAGUAGGUCUCGUGGCUAUGGUUGGAGCUUCCCCAUACGACGUGAUUUGAAUUUGUGGUAGUGGUGGGAAGACACUUGUCUUAUUAAUUAUGUGUUGUCAUCAUCAAAACCAGAAGAUCUCUGAGAUUGUAAGGUUUGGCUAAAUAAGUGUUCCCUCUAUCAAAAAUCCCAACAACCUUCAACAAAGAAAGGUCAAACCUUCAACACAAAAGAAAAAGGACACACCUUGAACUAAGAGUACAGAGAGAACAGAGGAUUGGAGAGAGAACGGAGAGUGGAGAAAGAACAACAAAGAAGUUGAAUUAUAGAGAGAGAAUGAACCCUCUUUUUCUGAAUGAAAAAAGCAAGGGUAUUUUGGAAUUCAUAAGUGUAAUAUGAUUACAUUUUCCCACGUUACCUUUUUCAAAUAAAAAAUUUAUUUUAACCUUCUCCAAUACUGUUUUUAGACAUGGCAAUUGUGAAAAAGUUAUAAAAAAAAGGUUUAAUGUCUCGAUAAGUCCUUAUUUUCGUCCUGAAUCUCAAUUAGGUCCCUUUUUUUUCGACUUCUCGAUUAGGUCCUUAUUUUUGUAAAAUUGAAUCAAUUGAGGGUCUACCGUCAAAUUAAACAAACUGUCGUUUAAAUUUACUGACGUGACAUUAAAAACGAAUUUUAUAUUAAAAAUUUGAAUUACACAAGUGUGAAUUCAAAUUUAAGAAAGGGCAAAGUAGGCAAAAUCUAAAAUUUAAGUGCAGCCCCUAACUUCAAUCUUCCAUGUUCAUUUCAUUCAACUCAAAAUUAUAUUCUGUUCAUCAGCAUCCUUCCCAAAUUCCAUCAACGUUUCCCUGUCCUUAUCAUACAGCGGGCACUCAUUCUCCAACUAACAAAGUUGGACUACCAACUUAUCAAACUCCAGUGCCAGUCUAUGAUUCUCCUCCACGAAUUUCUUCAAAACUUGCACUCGCUUCAAACUGCUCUAAAAUACCCAGAAUUCCCAUCAUCAAAUUUUCAAAAAAAAGAAAAUGAAAGAUAAAGAUUCAAAAGACCAAUCUUGCAUAAAACAAAAUCAAAUGCAACCAAAACAAAAAGUAAAAAGCCUUCCAAUUCCAACAUUAAUAAACAACCAGUACAUGAUUGGAUUAAUGUGAGUAUUUCAACAAUUUACUGAAGCUUCACAAUUGAGAUUUCCCAAAUGCAGAUUAAAAAAUGAUGAUAAAAGCAAACAAAGAGGAGCGGACCUCACCUCGUCCACAUUAAAAUCCCGAUCAAUUAACCGGUGUCCUGAGUUCUCCAAUUCAGAAACCCUAACGCUCCUUCGAGUUUCUUUCGACACUUUCGCGACGGCGGAGUCCAAAUCCUUGCGGAGGAGCGUCCCUCCCAUGAUGAAUCCCUCUUGUUCGAAGGCAAAGAGCGUCUUGGACUGCGACGGAGAAGAACAAAAUGGAAAGGUGAGACCUUGAAGGAAAUGUAAAUGUUAUUGAUGGUGGCCAAGUCGUUGAAGGAGAUGACGUUGAAUGGAGGAUGCAGAUGAUGUUGACUGGCUUCAUUACUGAGAAGGAGUUUUAGGGUUUUGAAAGAAAAGGGGUUAAUGGAAGAAGAAAAGAGGUUUGUCUUUUUUGCCCCUCUGAACAUAUUUGAUUUAACUUUGCUUAAUUAUUUUUUAAUAUAAAAAUUAAUUCAAAUUUAUUUUUAAUGCCACAUAAGAUAAAUUUAAACGGUCGUUUGUUUAAUUUAACGGCAAGUCUCUAAUUCUUCAAUUUUACAAAAAUAAGGACCGAAUUGAGAAGUUGAAAAAGAAAUGGACCUAAUUAAGAUUCAGGGCAAAAAUAAGGACUUACGGAACUAUUAAACCUAAAAAAAAAAGUUGUUAACUUAUCGCGAUCCACAAUCAAUAAAUCUCCUUUAACACGAAAACUACCUAAAAGCAAUAUCUAUAACUUAAUGUAGUAAGGAAUUUUGACCAAUAAUUUUUUAGACACAAAGUAAUAUGCUUAAACUAAGUAUAAUUUCAAUGUCUAAUCUCUAUGCAAACUAGUAGAGUCCAUUCUCUACCUAUUGUAAGGUAGUGUGGUGUUUUUAUUACACCACUUUUACUUUGCACGUGGGUAAAUGAUAUAGAACAAUUAUAUUUUUUGUAAUCACCAACAAGACCAACCCCUAACUCUGCUAUCAAAUAAAAAAGGACGGAUCUAACAAUGUGAUUAAAGGAAUUUGAGUAACCUCCACCGCUAACUCAACAUGCAAGAGUUCAUUUUCAAAUGUAUUUAGAAGUCUAUAUCACAUAUAUUCAACUAUAACUUCAAUUACUCAAAAAGCAACUUGAGCUGUAAGGAGUGCAAUGGGAAAACUCCAACCUAGAAAUCAAAACAAUAGAAACAAAAAUACAACCAAACUUAGGCAAAGACUAAAUUAGUUGAGAAAGUUAUUUUUCUCAAUUUAUAAAGUAUAAAAGAAAAAUUAAAUGGAUUUUUGAUGCAAAAAAGAAAUUUUAAUUUGAAAAGAAAAUUCAUAGGAUAGAAAUGGUAUUUUAUCAUGCUAGUAUAAGGUAGGAUAUGAUUAUGAAAAUGGAGCAUUGGAGUGAGACACUAAAAGAAAUAUUAGAGAAAAACAAACGUUUUUGCAUGCAUGAGAAAGAGAGAAUGAGGGGGAAGUUUUACAAUUUUUUAACUCAAAAAUUUGGGUUCCAUCUUUAAUUUUGUUUAUAUUUUUUUACAUUUACCAAACUAAAUUAUAUAUGUAUGGUCACAAAUGAAAUUAGUAAAUUUAGGAAUAAAUAUAAAAAUCACAUACUUUCAAAAAUAGAGAAACCAAAUGUCUCACCCGGUUUAUUCAAUCAUAAAUUGUAAUAGUUGGUACCUAAUGUUUUAACUAUAAUGUUUUAAUUAAUUAAAAAUAUAAAAAUAUUUAAUAACUUUAACUUUUAUAUUGAAUACUUCUUCGUUUAAAAAUAUGAUUUCAAAAUAGUAAUGUUUUCCCUUCCGAACAUAAAAUUCACUUCAAUAGUUUUCUAAAAUAAUACAGAAUUAUUCACUGUUUUUAUAAUCAUAUUAAAGAUUCGUGUAUUAUUUUAUCUUAAGUCCGUAAAAUAUCAUAUCGGUCGUUUAUCGACGAAAUAGGCGAAAACUGGAAAGCAAAGACUGAAGGGAUAUGUUUUGCUUAGCGAUGAAGGAAAUCUAUAUUACAAAUAAAUUAAAAAAACAAUGUCAUAAUCAAUUAAAUAUAAGAAAAAAAUAGUAAGAACCUGAUUCUAUUUUAUUUUCAUUGAAUUAACAUACCUAUAUAUUUUUGUCUGUGUCUGAAGUAGAUUCUAUUUAUACAUUCUACGAAUCUAAUACUGAUUCUGUGUUAACAUCAUACUUCAUUUUUGUCUGCCAUAAGCAGAUUCUGAUUAUAGCUGCAAUUGCAAAUAUAACAUGAUUGAGGUUAUACUUGCAACAUAACGAAAUACUUUCCCAAAAGGGCUCUUAUUUUCGUAUUGGCCCCAAAGGUUUUGGAAUAACAGCCCAUUACAAAAGAUACUUUAUUCUUUCUUUCUUCAAUCACUUUUAUUGCAGGAGGGCAGUUUGAGAUCUAUUUAGGUUAAACUCAUUCGGAGGUAUCUAUUUUUGUGUUUUUGUUUCACUUACAUUUCUGUCUUUUAUUCUUUCACCAAUUAGAUUCUUAAGAUUGAAAAAUUGAAAGAAUUUGACCUUUGCCGUUAAAUCAAGCUAACAGGAUUAACUUUCAGCUUACAUGUAAGGGUGAGGUGGAUAAAUAUGAUCACGUGGCGUGCACAGAAGGGUUUGUUUAUGUACGUGGCAUUAAAUUUAAAAAGUAGGGGUUUUGUUAAACAUUUUAAAAUUAGGGUUAUUUUAAAAUACAAUUAGGAUUAAAUCUCUUUCAGUAGUGGAGUGGUGGUUCCAACAGCACCGACUCGUCAUCACUGGCGAUGUCUACGGCUCAUCCUCAGUUGCGCCUCGGUGCUACUUCUACCGGUCUCUCCACCGUCAAGUGCAUGCAAAACGUGGCCGCCAAAGCCGUCGCGCAACGCCUCACUCGUGUCAUGGCAUCUCAGAACGCCAUCAUCGACGAAGGUGAAGAUGACGAUGAUCUCGAUUUCCGGUUCAGCGCUCCGCCUCCUACAUCUAUUUCUUCUUUCUCCAUCAACGCCAUCAGUAACAGGAGCACCAACACAAAUGCCUCCACUAUUCCUCCGAUUUUGGUUGCCAAGCCUAACAGAUCUACUUCUCCUACGAUAACUCUCUCUGCAAUUCGACACUGUUGGGUAUGUCACUGUUUGUCCAGAAUUUCAGGAAGAAAAUAGAAGAUAAACGUCACGCUAGAGAGAAAAAAUCACCAUGGUCGCGAACCGAACAGUGAGAAGGAAUUCAAAGUGAGCGCGUUGAAUGAAGAGAAAAAAAAAUAAAGUGAAUAAGAUUAACUGAAUAAGGAAUCCACCUUGUGGUCGCGACUACGGUAUUUGAACUGGCGAGGGAAAUAACGAAGGACGUAACUAAGGCCGUCAUCGGAGAGAAACAUCUCUGGUGUUAGUUUGGGCCUUGUUCGAGGAAGUUUCUUGGGCUUUUCGGUUGUGAAUCUGGGCUUGAAAGAAAAGGAAGAAGGAUUGGGAGUGGGAUUGGUGGAGGCGUUAGGGUUUGGAUUGGAAUUGGGAGCAGAGAAAGGACAGUCUCGUGACCAAUGACCUGGUCUGCCACACUUGUAACAGCCUGUGGCGGUUGCUGUUCCUUUUCCUCCAUUUUUUCACUUCUCACUGAUCACUCUCCUUUCCCAACACACCAUCUAUCUGUGGUGCGAUGGUGCUCCACCUGGACAGGAUAGAAUGCGGUGAUAGAGCUACGUGGUACAAGCAACUGUUAUCGGCAAUACUGCAGCAAUGAUUUUGAUGAUUGAGUGUCUGGUGCAGGAGGUGGUCGUCGGCGACGGUGUGGUAGCGAUCUAGGUGGCGCGGCGCAAAUAGUGAAGUAAGGAAGUUUUAGGGUUUAUGGAAGGAAGAAGGAAGAAUUUUCAGUUAUUUUAAAAAAUUUAUUCAGAAUAAAAAUUAAAUAAUACAAAUAAUUAAUAAUAAUAAUAAUAAUAAUAAGGUUAAGAAACACUAAUUUUUUAAUUCUUUGUUUAAGAUACUGACACGUGUAUAAUAAAACCAACGUAACAGGUUCUGUGCACACCACGUCACCAUAUUUGUCCACCUUACCCUCACAGGUAAGAAAAAAGUUAACCCCGUUAACUUGAUUUAACGUCAGGGGUCAAAUUCAUUCAAUUUUCCAAUCUUAAGGACCUAAUUGGCAAAAAAAAAAAGAUGAGGAUGCAAGUGGGACAAAAACACGAAAAUAGGGACCUCUGAAUGUGUUUAACCAUCUAUUUACCUGUAUUGAUGUUAAUUGAAGAGAAGGUGCUUAUUAAAUAAGUCUACUAAGUUCAUGGGGUACCAUAAUUGAGAUCUGGGACACUAGAUUGGUCGAAGAACCUUUAAUGAUUGGAUUGUGAAUAGGUGUAUGGUAAGUAAAAGUCUAUAUAAAUAUUAUAAAUAAAAAGUUUAAGGUAAUUGUUCACUUUUACUGCAACAUUUAGUAUAGCCUUUGGAUCAAUACUAAUUUAAGCAUCAGAGUGUAAUCUAUAAGUACACUUCGAACGAUUUGGACAACUUGAGACCUUAAGUAUUGAAAGGAGCUGAAAAUUGAAGUUAACCUAAGACCGAGACAUAUAGGAAAUGGAAAUGCUUGACCAAUCUAACAGAAACAUUUUUGUACCCACCGUGGGACCGAACGAGCACUUUUUUGCUGCUAUGGUAAUCACAAAGAACAUGACAAACAAUGAAGUACUAGAGGAGCAGCAUGUGGAUCCUAUGGCUAUGAUGCACGACAUGAGAAGGGAGAUGGAGACUAUGAGAAGGAAGCAUGAAGGAGAGAUGACAAUUUUGCACACAGAAAACACACUUAUGAAACAAAAACGGAAACUAAGGGACAUGUACAAUCCACCCCAACUCAACUUGGACCAACCAAACAACCAAGAAUCGAGCAUGAUCGAACAGUUCAGAAGAAAAAUUAUGGAGCUAGUAGAGAUCACAACCCAUCUGUCACUGUCACGGUAGACAUGUCUGGGUGCACCCGUUUACUAGUGGAAUCAUUAAGACCCCUUUACUAGACAAUUGGAAGAUGUCAACGUUUGACAAGUAUGAUGGAUCCACGAAUGUUAACGAGCACAUCAACAUUUGUCUAACGCAGUUGGUGUUAUUCACGUCAGAUGAUAUCAUUUAGUGCAAGGUAUUCCCAACAUCACUAAAAUGAGCCAUCCUCGAGUGGUUCAAGCUUCUAUCUGUCAACUCCAUCGGCUGCUUCGCCACAAUUAGAACGAAAUUUAGAACAUAAUUCACCACUAGCCAACAACAUCAUCUAACGUACAUAGCGCUUGUCAACAUUCGACAAUACAAAGAUGAAAUCCUCUGAACAUUCAUAGAUCAAUUUGGAAAGAUAUCUUCACAAAUAAAGGACCUAAGUCAUAAAGUGCCUAUGCAUCAGAUAAUUCACCAAAAAAACUUGUGGGAUCGUUCCCCAAUAGCCUGUUAUGCAGUCUACCACAAAUUUAGACGAUUUGAUAUAGAGAGUAGCAAAGUACAUGCAGCGAAAGGGCUUGAAAGGCUUUCGAAAGCAAAUGCGACUAUAAAGAGCAAAUGUAAAUAAGGGUACAAAUAAAAAAUCAUUCACCAAGAAUCAAGACUCAAAGUUACGGAGUCAAUCAGAGGUCCCCACUUCCAUAACCACACACCAUCGAACAAUGGUUGUUCGAAAAUCCUUUGGGAAGCUCUAAACACAUACUUGUUACCAUCACCUAGAAGAAAGGCAACCCUGUUGAACCUUGAUAGUAAUAAACAUUGUUAAUAUCAUCAUCACUUAGGCCAAAACAACGAUGAGUGUCUACCGCUAAAAUAUAAAAUAGAAGAGUUCAUCCAACUUUGACAGUUAAAGAAGUUUGUCAAAAUUGAUUAAACCCCUACCAUAGAGAAGAACCCCUAAAUGAGCAGUAUCAAUGUACAAAUAGUAUAAGGAGCAGCCUAGGUGAAGAAGCCGAAGUAAGAACAAGAGUCGGGAUGGUCCAUCGAGGGAAACAAUCAACACAACCUAAGGAGGUUUCGCUUGAGGAGGGCACACAAUAUUUUCCUAAAAGAAUCACAUUUGAGCAAUUAAAAUGAUGAAUCUCGUAGAGAAGAGAGUUAGAAGCACGCCCUUCAUCACAUUUUCUAACGAUGAUUAUAAAGCGCCUGACCCUGACCAAGACGACUUGAUGGUCAUCUCAAUCCAGCUAGCCGACUAUGCUAUAAGCAAGAUUUUGGUCAACCAAGGCAGACAAGAAGAAGAAGGAGUUGUGCUUACAACCUUCACGGCUUCCCCCGACCGAUUAGCAGAUUCCUCUUGCUCAACAAGUUCAACAGCAGCUUUGAAGAAAUUCUUCUUUAGAUUGUGGGAUGCCAUAAUCUCUGAAAGACAACAAAAAAUUUAGCUAGGUUAAAAUCAAGUCAAAAACAAACGACAAAAGGAAUGCCAUAUCGAACACCUCAGUACUGAGGUCCUCCCCACCAAGGCAAUUGAUUAUCUUUGAGGAAGGGAGCUGGCGAGGCAAGUCAUCAAGAACAUUGAGUGCCUCCUGCUCGGCCGGAGUCAUAUCUGACUGUAACCAGGAAGUCACCCAAGUAGGGUCUUCGGUCUAGUACAAAGAAAAUUUUGGUCACUCGUCUUCCCCAAAGAAUAGUAGAUGGCCAAACUCGGUUAAUUCUACCUUAAAAAAUUUAUCAUUGAAGCCCUUGAAUGAAAGAGAAUAAAGCUCAAAUAAGGCUUUCCCUUGCUCGAAGAUCGGGGCGACCCAACCGCGUUUCGGAAUAUGUCAGGUCCAAAAGUAGUGAAGAAAAAGAGCGCGGGUGUAGGUGUGAGGUCCAACACUUAGCAAACGAUGGCGAAGGCCUGAAUAUACCCCUAGUUAUUUGGAUGCAGUUGGAAUGGGGCAAUAUUUAGAGUACGGAGGACGUCCAUUUGAAAAGAGCUAAACGACAGAUACACAAACAUCUCAUGGAACAUAUAAGCGUAAGCGAAGAAGAAGUCACUCUUACUCCCUCCUUUUCCAUGAAACACACGGUCAUUCUCCUCACGGGCCAUUAACCUAAAUAGAGGACCAAAAUCCAUUGACCGCAACACAUAGUUACAAUCAGUCCAGUCCGCCAACUGACUCAUGUCAUGAGACGCUUCAAAAGUAGGUGGAGAACUCACUCACAUCAUGAGACGCUCAGUCGUAGCCCGCGACAAUGGGCAAAGCUCCCACCUGCUUGUUCUCCUCCUUAGCACCCUCCAUAAUCACCCCUCCAUAGACAAAGGUCCACUGACCGUUGAACAUAACCUCUUUAUUUUCUUCUACAAUGGAUUCAUUACCAUCACAACCACCAUCCCGCUCGGUUGACUCCAUGAAGGAGGAAGAAGACUCCGAGCCCACCGAGAAUGAGACCCCAUCAUUGCCCCACCCGCCCCUUCCCGAAGACUCCUCAGACGAAGAGAGGUUCAUGGUAGCCAUUUAUUACAUGAAUUAAAAAAAAGACAAAUAACACUUUCAAACGUUGGAUGAAAAUACGUGAAAAUUAUACAAUGGGUCUUUCCUAUUUAUAGGCAGCAAAUGGAGGACCCAAAGAUCGUCCUAACUGUUGGAUGUAAAGAAAUCCAACGGUCUGAUUCAAAGACUCCAUAACUUCCAUCCAGCAUGAGAAACGAAAAAUCACAUCCAACGGUUAAGAACAGCUGACCUUGCACAUUCCUAUCAACGCAUGAAAUAGAACCAAACGCCAAUGGUAACAAUUUCAAAAUCAAGGCAACACCCCACCCAAACCAUGCACGCUCACCAAACAGUUAGUAAAGUCCCUUGCACAUUCCUAUCAACGCAUGAAAUAGAACCAAACGCCAAUGGUAACAAUUUCAAAAUCAAGGCAACACCCCACCCAAACCAUGCACGCUCACCAAACAGUUAGUAAAGUCCCUUGCCAAACAUGUUCGUCUCGAACUUGGGAGUCUGUGUACUGUAUGAACCGACCGAUAUACGUAUACCGGUAGACCACACGAUUAAUCACCUUUAGAAACGCAUUACAACCAAAUUAAACGAACGGUCACUUACAACACUCAUCGUCGUUAGGUAUAAAGACUUUAGAUUAACAAAGUAAAAACAUACUUAAACAAUGUUAGGCUUACACUUAUCCAAAGAUAAAGACAUAGGUGAUUACAUUUGGCAUUUGAGACUUAAUUAUAACCAUUCGAUAAGACUAACUUGAAUAUCAAGAGUACAUUUCUCCUCAGAAUUUUGAGGAGAAUAACAACAUAUUAUAAGAAAGUUAAAGAGUUAAUUGAAGGCAACAAACUAGAUUAGUAUAUAUGGAAACACAUUAUUUAAAUUGUCACUCAAAACAUAUCUUAAUUACGUUUCCUCACUUCCGCAUCAAUUUAGUUUUUUUAUCAAUUUUUGUUUAAAUAUUUAGUCGAAACAUAUUCAAAAGUUACACAUUCAAGAUGAAAAGGAAAUAAUUUAAAAAAUAACCAAGAUAGUAAAAUAAAAUUUAUUGUGGAUAUGGAAUUGCUUGAUUUGAUUUUAACCCACAAAUAACACCAAUUCAAUCAAAUCCAAGUUAGUGUAAUGAGUGGAUUUGAUGAAACCUCAAUCACAACAUUGUCCAUAAUAAGAACACGAGAAAGAAACUAAAAUUUAAAAAGCACAGCAAAACUUCUUGCCGGGGAGGAAGAAAUGACAAACUUUGGUAUUUUCUCAUUGAAAUGGUAGACAAUAAUACAACAACGGUGUAACAUUGGUACAAUAAAGAUAUGUCUGUCACUAUUUGCUGCACGAGGACCUUCAAACUACUUAAUUCAUACAGAAUAUCUUUCCAUUAUGCCCCAAGAGAAAAGAAGAAACAUAUGUACAAGGGUUGAGCUUUUAUGGAACCCCUCCAGAGGGUCUCACUGUUUUGUGAAAGGCCGUGUAUAACAUUUGUGAAGGGAUAAAUCCUGAACUAUUGAGCAUAUAUGUAAUAGGCCAAGUCAAAUAAAAGCCGCAUCUUUCUGUUGUUAGUUUUCAAAUUUGUAUCAAUUGUGGGAUAAGCUUCAAAAGGAAAGAUAAAUCCUGCUGUGAAAAUUGUGGAUUUGAGUUCCCCUGCACCGUCACACUCCCCUCCGUAAAACCCUCCCCAUCACCACCCUUUUUUGGCUUUAUCAUAUCUGCAACUGCUUCGGUUAUUUCUUUAACCAGAUCCACAAUUACUCCAUCAAUUCCCAUUAGAUGUUGCAUGUAAACUGCCUCAGGAACAUUGCUGCAAUGUCAAAUAUAAUCAUGAGCCAAAAUGUUACACCAAACACAUUCUUUUCUCAAGCAAUUAACAAAGGAAAGAGAGUACUAAAAACAAGCAUACUUUAAUUUGCCGUAAGAAAGGAGGCAGAGCUUGGACUCCUUUAUCUUGGUUACUGUAGAAGGAUCUCUAAAAAUCCCUUUAAUUUCUGAGACAAUUCCUUCCAAUCCAUUCUCAACAGAGAGCUUCAUGGCCUCCUCCAGUGAGUUUCUUCUCACAUCUUCAUAGAUUUCACAUCCUCCAUUUGUCAAGAAAAAGACCUGGUUGUUCCCAACAAAUUAACCACAACAUCAGAUCCAGUUAAAGAAAUAAAAUAAUUUCUCAGAACUAAAAAGGCUUAAAGAACUAACAGGGUAGUUGCUUUGCAAUUUCCGGAUGAGCAAGGCUGCAUCUGGCUGGAAUGUUGAGAAGAUAAUAGGUCUAUCCUUGGCGUAUUCAAACACAACCUGCACCCCACAAAUACCAAAGACAAUGAGAGAUCCAAGUCACCACUUUUGAAAUGUAAAACUAAAACAAAACACUCAGUGUCCCCCAUAAACACAUUUUAGGCUUAAAAUAGACUCUCUUAGCGUACCUUUAAGAUGGUUUGAAGGACAUGGACGAGAUAAUCUUGCUCAUAGACAAUGUGAUCAUCGAACUUCAACUCAAUAUUAAAACCAAUAGCGGGUUCCACCUUCACAAAAGCCUCUUGGAGAGUGCAAAGUGAGUCAUCUUGUUCAACAUCCCAUGGCAUUAUCUUCCCAUCUUUUUUCCUUAGCAAAACCUUUCCCUCAUUGCCAUGCUCUCUCUGAGGCCCAUAAGAAAGAAACUCUGAGAGACUCAGCUCUGUGAUCCUCCUUCCAGUUACAGCACCCUGCAAAACACAUUAAUUUCAACGUAACAAACCCAAAAAACUCGACCCAUUGAAAAGAAAAAGAAAGAAAUCAUCAAAGCUAAGCAAAAACAAAAAAACUCACAUUCUCCUCCGAGAAGAUGAAAUCGUCGUGGAAAAUGACGGGGCAAUCAUCUCUCGUCACCUACAAAAAACGUGCAUUUUUUAAUUCGUUUUCUUUUUUUUUUCUAUAAAAAAUGCAACGCGUCAAACAAAAACAAACAAGCAGCCAAUCAGUACCGAACAGACGGUCAAAAAAGGGCCGAGAAAGGCAAAUUAUUUACAGAAAAGCCAUCGGGGUAAAAUAGGAAAAGAAGAAAAGUAGUUGUUGCGAAACACAAGAAGCGAAAACGGUGCGCGCGGUGGAACAUUAAAUUAUUGCAUUGAGUGCAAAAGCAGAAAGAGGAAAAUAAAAGAAAAGGUCACCUGAACGUCAAAUUCUAUGAAAUCGAGAGGAAAAGUAGAGGCGGCGUUGAAGGACAUAAUGGUAUUUUCCUUUAUGGCUCUCAUUCUUCGAUCCGAAGAUUGCAGAACGUUCAUGCCGUUACCCCUGUGGCCGAUGACGACGAACUUGGGCAUCUUGAAGCCACUCCGAGCAAUCUCGACCCCUGCAUUAACGAUUAAAAGAAUGUUAGGAAGAAAAGAUGGGAAGAGGAAGAAGAGAAGGAAAGAGAUGGAAAGAACCGUUGGGGAAGCGGGAGGAGCAGAGGGCGAGAGAGGCAUUCUCGGGGACGUGGUCAAGGGAAGGGACGUCGGUGACAUGGACGGCCUUGAGAGCCAUUUGGGUGGAAGGAAAGAGAGAAAGGAGGAAGGGGAAAGGGAGGUGGUGAUGAGGAGGGCACCGGAUGGUUUGUGGGUGAUGGUGGUGGUGGUGAAGAACAAGGCAUGGUUUGGUCCGCUAUUUAUUGCUUCCACCUACGCCAAAUUCACCCUCCAACGGAUCUCCCCACGAAUAUUCCCCUCCCAUCUAUAUGCUUGGGAUAUUCCCUUGUCAUUUUCCACCCUUUCAAUUUCAACCUACACUUUUUCUUUUUCUAUAUCUAUAUCUUCAACAAAAUAUGUCAUUAUAGAUUUUUUACUAAUUUAUUGGACUAGAUUUUCGUCUAAUAUAUUAAUAAUAAUACCAUAUUUAAAUAAAAUAUUUAUAUAUAUCAUCCAAAUAAGUUCAAAAUAAUAACUGAAAAUUUUGAAACCGAACAAUUUUUUUUUAUACAAAAUUUAAAAACAAACACCUUUUCAACCAUUUAAACCACUAAAACAACCAACAAUUGUUUUAUCUCUUACUACAACUUCCAAAAAUAAAGCAAUUGACCAUGAAUACCUUUCAAUUCCAACAGACUUUGAAGCUAGCAUAAAAAAAUCUUGAAACAAUAUCGGAUAACUAGGAAUUGGUUCGAUCAAUUUCCAGCACAAACUGUUCUAGACACCAAAAAUGGAAGCCCUAUGACCAUUUUAAGAGGAAAAGCUAUACAUCUUUUAAUUGGAUGAUUUUAUUUAUUUUUUAAAUAAAAAAAGUAAUUCUUUAUUUAUGUAAUAAAAUAAAUUAUUAAAUAUUGUUUGUUUAAAAAAAAUAAAUUUCUAAAAUAACACUUGCGUAAAAUUAUAUAUAUUUUGUAGUGAUUGGAAACAAUGCUGUGGUGGUGGCGGGUGAGAAGUGGCUGGGUGACAGCUGGGGUAUUAUGUUAUAGUCGUUGACCUGUGACAAGGCAAACUACAAGGUUUUUGAAGAAAAUCUGUGGUGGGAUCGUCCGAACAUUGCGGACUACGGUAUUUUAUAAGAUAGAGGAUGAAUGAAGAAACAUAAUUGAUCGGGUAUGACGUGGUGACACAACAGCAUGUAGAUAGAUAGAGAAAGGUGGGUGGUUAUAAUUGGAUAAGACUACAAAAAGGAUUUAGGAAUGACUCAUGGCUGCCUUUGCCAAACUAUUAAUUUUAUUUAAUGAUAAAAAUUGAUGUUGUCUUUGUACUUUUAGGAAAACAAACAAAAAGUUAAAAUACGGUGGAAACAAUUUGAUAAAAAAAUUGGAAUUUUUUUUGAAAAUAAUGUAUUUUAAUUAGUUUGAUAUAAAAUAGAAACAUUAGGAAAUAUCACAUUCUAUGUUUUUAAUCUUUACGAAAAUAUUUAUUAGUAUAAUUACGUGGUACAAGUAAAAAUCUUCUAGAUAAACUAGAAUUCUCUAUAAGUUGAAUUGCUGUCUGAUUGAGGAGAAGCGGAUUGAGCUUCAAGAAAAAGGAAAAGUAGAGAAAGAUUCAUGUACAAAAUAAAGUUAAUAAAAAAGUAUAAAUAGUAUAAGUGUGAAUAGGAGAUAUACCUGGAUCAAUAGACACACAUUAAAUCGAUUAAUAUUUCAUAUAUGAUAAUAAGAUCAAGAGAUAAUAUGAAUAAAUUUGGAUUGGACUCAAAUAAACCUUUAUUAUAAAAGUUAUUGGGUUUGGACUUAUUUAGUUUUAAAUAUAUAAUUUUGGUUUAAUAAAUUUUAAAUGAUUUUUAUUUUUAUAAAAUUAAAGUAUACAUGAGAGAGUCCGUGUAUAUAUUAAUCUCACAUGACAUUAAAAUCGAGUUUUAUAUUAAAAGUUUUAAAUGUACAAAGGUGAACUUCAGGGAAGACAAAGUAAAAAAAAUUAAAAAUUUUAAGUGGAUCUCCCUUUAAUUUAAAAAUGCAAAUGAGAUUGGGAAAAAGAAUCGAAGAUCCGUAUUAUUAGAUUUGUGUGAGAAAAAAAAAAUCGCAUUCUUUCGUUCAAAAUUUUCUUAAAAAAACUGAAUUUAUAUGUGAUAGUAGCUCAUCCUCUGCAAUUAUAAAAAUAAAAUAGACUAAAUUCUUAUUACAAAGCAAGAGAGGAGGAAAAGAUCUAAGAGUUUUUAUAUCUUGGUAUGCAUUUAGCUACAGUAUGAGCUCCAGAUUUAACUGAUAACAUAGUCCAUGUAAUUUAAUUUGGACAAUGAAUGAAAAGUGACAAUGACUUCCAGAUAUCCAUGAUUUAAAUUACAAUGGAAAAAUAGAAGAAGAAAUGAGGAAGAAUGUGAGGGACUGGGACUAAUUAAUAUAUUAAAUAUUUUACAUCUAACUCUCUUAAUGUAUACACUUCUUCUGAACUUUAUCUGAGAUGAACAGUUAUAGAGAUGAACAGUCAGAGAGGGUGUUGAAAGAGAGAGCUCCCAAUGCAAUUCACAUCCUCCGCUUCAUGCUCUACCAUAUCACUCUCAAAUGGCUGCCAUGCAAUGUGCUCUAACUUCUCUUAUGGACUCUCAAAACAAACCAUAUGCCUUCAACAAAUCAACAUUAGAAUUACCUUUCCAGGACGCUUCUUCUUCUUCCAGCAACAAUGAGAAAUUCUCUUCAAAAUCCAAAAAGUACUCCUCUAAUUUACACCUCACCAUCUUUCAGCCAUGGGAAAUCAUACACCCCAAGUCCCAACUCGAAUUCCCAUGCAUCUCAACAACAAUCCUCUUUCUCUCUAAUAAAGAACGAAGAAAGAAAGAACGAGCGAUUUUUUUCCCUCACACAAACCUUAUAAUACGGAUUCUUAAUUUUUUAAUGCCAUGUAUGAUUAAUGUAUACAUUGAUCAUAUCACGUAAGCGAAACUUAAACGAUCUUUUGUUCAAUUUGACGGCAGGCUCUAAUUACUUCAAUUUUUAAAAAAUAAGGAUCUAAUUAAGAUGGCAUAAAAAAAAAGGGACUUAUUUGACAUUUUGGACCAAAAUAGGAACAAACCGAGACAUUAAACCUAUAGUCUUUCAUAAUUAUUCUUUUCCAUUUGUUAUUUAAAAAACGUUAAAAUUAGAAAAUGUUAAUUUAUAUAACAAAGAUAAUAAAGAAUUUUAAAUGGAAAUAAUUAUAAUUUUAAAGCAUAAAAUUUAAUAAAUCUAUACUUAUAUAUAUAUAUAUAUAUAUAUAUAUAUAUAUAUAUAUAUAUAUAUAUAUAUAUAUAUAUAUAUAUAUAUAUAUUAUGGGUUUGUUAACGUGCGUAUGCCUCUUUUCAGUUGGUACAUUUUAACAAUGUGUACCGGAUUAUAGUAGACAAAAAUAUCAUCAUAUAUUAUGGAUUCUAAGUUUUAAAGUCAAGGAUAUUUAAAUAAUUUUCAUUCUGAAAACUAAAAAAAAAAAAGAAAUCCCCAAACCCUUACUCACCUCUCCCAUUCCUAUCAAUUCUUUCUGUUUCAUUUCUCUCACUCCAACUUUUUCUCUGUCAUUUUUACUAUAGCCCCAAUUAAAAAAAAUUAGAAAAACUUGCUGUUAAGAAAUUUCUUACAAAAAAAUGAUUUUAUAAUGAGUUUUCAUUUUAUAACUUUUGUCUUAUCUAAUUUUCACAAGCAUAAUGACAUAUGAAGGAAUUGGUAAUUCGCCUGAAAAAAAAAAUAAAAAACACUCGCUAUUAAACAAUUUCUUACAAAAAAUGAUUUUAUAAUGAGUUUUCAUUUUAUAAUUUUUGUCUUAUCUAAUUUUAUUUAAUUUUCACAAGCAUAAUGACAUCAGAAGGAAUUAGUAAUUGGCCUGAAGAUUUUUUAAGAAAUGACGAUUCAACAUCUGCAGAUGAUGAAAUUAGAGAUGUUAGUGAAGAUGAUGAAAUUGAAGAGAUCUUGAAUGAACCUUUGCCUGAAAGCGAAUAUGCCAAUGACUCAACUCUUUACAAAGGUAAAUUGUUUAAGGAUGAGUAUUUCUAAUUUUUUUUUCAAUUGGAUCUACCAUAGGAUGAUAGAGAAACGGUUGGAGUGAGAGAGAUGAAAGAGAAAGGAUUGAGAGGAAUGAGAGAGGUGAGUAAGGGUUUGGGUUUUUUUUUUNUUUUGUUUUGAGAAUGAAAAUUAUUUAAAUAUCCUUGACUUUAAAACUUAGAAUCUUAAUAUAUGAGGGUAUUUUUGUCUACUAUAAUCCGGUACACAUUGUUAAAAUGUACCAACUGAAAAAUAGGCGUACAUAUAUAUAUAUAUAUAUAUAUAUAUAUAUAUAUAUAUAUAUAUAUAUAUAUAUAUAUAUAUAUAUAUAUAUAUACAAACACACACACACAUACGGGGUUUGUUAACAUACGUAAGCUAUAUUUUUACAGUUAAUACAUUUUAGCAAAGUAUACCGAGUUUUAGUAGACAAAAAUACCCUUAUACAUUAUGGAUUCUAAGUUUUAAGGUCAAAGAUAUUUGAAUAAUUUUCGUUCUUAAAACUAGAAAGAAAAACAAGAAACCUGCAAACCCUUAGUCACCCUUCUCUCAUCCCUCAUUCCUCUCAACCAUUUCUCUUUUAUCACUCUCUGUAACCUUUUCUCUGUCAUCCCUAUAAUAGCCCCAACUGAAAAAAAAAAAAUCAGAAACACUCGCAUAACCCUAAUCCACCUUCCUCAUUUAUCCAAUUUGUUUCUCUCUCAUCUUCACCUCUCUCGUCCACACACAGUAACUCGCGACAUUGCAAUUUGUAGUUCUUGCUCUGUUCGUUCAUUUGUUUCCACUUUAAUAACAAAAUAAUUGAUGAUGUUGAUGUUGAUUUUUGAUUGAAGGGUUGUUAUAUUUUUUUCCCUUAUGAUUAUUAUUAAAUUUUGUUUUUAAAUUUUAGAAUUAGUAGUUUAUCUAUAGGGAGAUUUGAUAUUUUGACUAUUAAGUUGUCCGAAAAUAUUUUUCAGAAGAGAAAAAUAGUUACGUGGAAAGGCGAUUCCCGAAAGGGUAAGUCAUUGUCCAAAAAAUGGAUUUCUGAAGUCAGUUCUUAAAAAUAAUUCUAAAAACAUAUUUUGCGCUGAAAGCAAUACUUUGGAAUAUACUUUUCACCUUCCUGCAUAUAACCAACGUCAAAACACAACAAAAAAUGAAGCUCAUGUACAUCGUACUAAAUGAUUUAACAGGAAAAAAUUAUUGAAGAGAGUUAUGAACAUAAAAGAAUUUUGUUGUUGUCCACUAGACUUUUCACUCAAUUCUGGUUGUGUAAUAUUGUUCAUCACUCCUGAUGUCCACUAGACAAACUCGUCUAGGUACCGCUUAAUCCAACCAAGUUAAGCCUUAAGUGUUUGAAUUAUCUUCAAAAUAUGCAAUCAAUCAAAUCACCUACAAGUCAUUAGAUGAUUACUCUCAUAGUGAGGAUUUGCUUACAAUAUAAUUCAAUCUAAUAGACUUUUGAAAUUUUCUUUUUUCUUACAAGUGUAACUUUCUAACUCUAAACAACUCUGAGAGUAUUCUUGAUCUUUCAAUGAGGAUGAUUUUUCUUUAUAUUCCUUAUGUGUCCAUCCUUUUUUCCUUCUUAACCAGAUAUCUUCUCUUUAUAAGCGUUUUUUGAGAAUUUAGUCGUUAGAUGAUGCUUGUCUUUGAAUUUUAGCUCUUUGUAGCCUGCCUUUAUCAUAGGUGGUUGUCAUAGGUUGAGGUCUACUUGUCAAAGUAGGCUUACUUUUUUAGUACUUUAUCAAAAGUAGGUUGUACGAAUUCUUUGGCUCGACUUUUGAUAAGAAGGUCAUUCCAUGAAUGUCUUCUUUGUCUCUAACUUGUAUUUGAUAGAGAAGGUGGAUGCUUGACUUAGGUAAUUUGCAUAAAGUAGAGUAGAUAUUCAUACAAGCAUAUAUGUCUGUUUUCCUUUCACUUUUGCUAUUUUGAGACAUUGUGUUUUUUAAUGCGCGUUUAGAACAACUAUAAGUAUUUUAAAAUUUCCUUGCUCAAGCAGCAUUUGGUUGUUUAAGCAUUCUAGUAGAGAUACCUAGUAGAUCAUGAGAGUUUCAUCAUUGGAUGAAAACUUCGUUUAGCACAUGAUAUCGUUUAGCCUAUGCAAGGCUUUUCAUAAUAGUGCCUUGUUUAAUAAAUACUCGUUUGAUUUAAGAGCGCAUUUAGUGAGAUAUCUUUCAACAUCAAUUUUUGGAACAAUGAUUGUAUCUUUUAGCACAUUUACCAAAAACAUCAUUUUAUAUAUAUCAUAGUGAGAUCUUGUUUAGCUUUGUUUAGCAAAGUAUAGCACAAAUGUGUUUAACAAGACUCUCAUAUAGCUCAAUGACGCAUUUAGUAGUGAAAUCGUUUAGUAGUGCAUCUACUUAUGUAUUAGUGCAUUUAUUAAAGUUUUUUCUUUCAUGGAAAGUCUUUUUAUGUAGCGAUAUGAGUUUUACAAAGGUAAUACUUUGUUAAUCAUCUAUUUCGGUCAUAUUCUUAUUUACUAAUUCUCAAGUCAUGUGAAGAUGCUAAACAAUCUUGAUCUUAUCUUAGCAAACUUCCUUUCUUCUUGUAGUACUGAUUUAUUGUGUAGCACUAUCGUUUUGUAUUAUGUCUCUUCUUAGGAAUGAAUUGUUUUCUUUUAGGAUGAAGAUAUAUUCUUUUAUUUUACGAAUAUUUUAUUUGCAAUGCGUGAUUACUUGAUAGAUUCUUGCACUCAAUGUUUUGUCAGUUUUACUUGGACACUUCUUAUGCUUAUUGCUUUGUAAUUGUAUAUUUGUAGGCAUACUGUAUGUAGGCUUCUUCUAUGUUUCUAUGUUAUUUCAGCUUAUCUCUUUUGUUGUUUAACAACUUAUGUAACUUUAGAUGUAACCUUGAUUUUUACUUUGAUUUGGCUUGACAAUAUAGAUGCUUCUAACCUUAGACGUUUUUCUUUUGGACAUCUUUUUUCCGCUAAAUGGAUAACUAGAUGGUUUGCAAAGUCCACUUUCUAGUGUUUAGAUGAUUUUUCUUUUACAAUUAUCAGAUAAUGUCAUCGAUAAAUAUAUCAUCCAUAAAUAUCAUCCAUAAAUAUAAUGAAUAAUUGUACUUAAUUUAUCUAUCAUUCUAAAAAUAACUUUUUUUUCUAAUCGACUUAAUGAGUCCACUACUAAAUUUAUUAUUAUAUAUUAUUUAAUAAUAUUAUCUUGAAAAUAUUUUAUCAAGAUAAUUUUAUGAAAUAUUAAUUAAAAAACAAUAAACAUUUAUAACAUUUAUAAGAAAGUGUGAUAUUUGAGAAAAACAUAAUAUAAUAUUUAAAAUAAAAGACAACUUAUUAGAAGAAAUGAGAAGAACAGGGAUGGAACUAAAGGUUAAUAAAUAAAAUUGAUGUUUUUCUAUUUUUACAAUUAAUUAUUUUUAGAAUAAAAGUUGUGUAUGGAAUUAAAAAUUCUAUACAAUAAUUUGUUAAGAGAUAAAAUAUGGUCGUAGAGGAUUAAUAAUUUAUUUAUUAAUUUUUCUAUUACUUUUGAUAGUUAACCAUGGAUGAUUGUUAUAGUUUUUUAGAACAUUAGUUACUUUCCUUAGUUAGUUUUAAUUUUUUUUUUCUACAAAUAGUUGAGUAAAUUAUUUUUCUAUACCAUAUGUUACGGAUGUUUCUUUAAUUAGUUUUAUACUUUCUAGCAAAUAAUUAAACACAAUUAUUAUCUUACGCAUGAAUGUGAAACAUGAUAUAAAUGUGUAAAAUUAACUUAUGAAAUCUUAUGAAAUAUAUGUUAAUGAAGUUGAAUCUCAUUUUCAAUUAAAAGGAAAACAAACUGAAAGAAAGACAACACCAAUUUCAUUCAUGUAUUUAUGAGGUGUCAAAGUUUCAUUUUAACAUUUUGUCUUUUCACAUAAUAUUAAUUGAAAAAAAAAAGUAAUGAAAAGGUGGAGAAAAAAAUGUAUGAUUUUAGUAUGUCUUCCGUUGUAGCCAAAAAACUGCUCACUGAAAGGAAUUAAAAAAUAGAUUUGAAUAGGAGUCUGUCAGACAACCCUGCAACCAUCCCCAGCUUGUAAAGUCAGGGAACGAUCCUCUACAGCUGGUGAUGGGUCUCGUCCAGAAACGAAGCCCACACUGCCGUUAAUCACGCUCUGAUCACAGGGUAAUAAUUCAUCCACCAGACUUCAGUUCCUGUCUCCUUAGAACUUAAGGAUACAGAGGUACGAACCUAUAGAACAGAUCCUGUUCAAGUAAGGUCGU
rnacentral:lncRNA from 1 species